UGUGGGAGCGAGCCUGCUCGCGAUGGCGGUAUAUCAGUCGACAUUUGUGCCGGCUGGUACUCCGCUAUCGCGAGCAGGCUCGCUCCCACA
rnacentral:misc_RNA from 1 species